rnacentral:tRNA from 1 species
GGAUAACUUGGUAUUUGGUAAACUAACCUACUUGCUACGUAGUUGCAUUCUUGCUAUCAGCGUUCGAAUCGCUGGUUAUCCG